rnacentral:tRNA from 1 species
UCCCUGGUGGUCUAGCAGUUAGGACUCGGUGCUUUCACUGUUAUGGCCUGGGUUCAAUCCCUAGUCUGGGAA